rnacentral:lncRNA from 1 species
AUAUACAGCAUGGAACAGGGCUCCACAAGGACAUGAAUACCAGGUGGCAGGGAUCACUGGGCCAUCUCUCUAAAUCACGAAUGAAACAUUUGCAACCUGUGUCUCCCAAACAUGAUAUGUCUCAAUCAUCAAAGGAUCUACAGUGACUACAAUAACCAAGUGCUACAAAAACGCUGUGACGAGGAAUCUGAACAACAGAGAUUUGAGGGAAACAAAACACUUUCGACGAAGGUCCUGCUGCUUGUCUUCAGCUUGGUACCAAUUAGAGCUUCACUGGAGGUGAAAAAAUCGCGGCAUGUCUUCCAAGGAAAAAACUGUAACUAAAUCUAUGGCAAGUUUUUGGAUUAGAAAAAUCUAGGCUUCAUGAAGAUAAGAGCAGAGCUGUGGAAAAGUAAGACAAAGAAAUCAUCCAACAAUACAAGCAACAUACA